UACGUAGGGGGCAAGCGUUGUCCGGAUUUAUUGGGCGUAAAGAGCGUGUAGGCGGCCAGAUAGGUCCGUUGUGAAAACUCGAGGCUCAACCUCGAGACGCCGAUGGAAACCAUUUGGCUAGAGUCCGGAAGAGGAGAGUGGAAUUCCCGGUGUAGUGGUGAAAUGCGUAGAUAUCGGGAGGAACACCAGUGGCGAAGGCGGCUACCUGGCCCAUUCUUGACGCUGAGGCGCGAAAGCUAGGGGAGCAAACGGG
rnacentral:rRNA from 1 species